GACGAACGCUGGCGGCGUGCUUAACACAUGCAAGUCGAACGGAAAGGCCCUGCUUUUGUGGGGUGCUCGAGUGGCGAACGGAUGAGUAACAAGUGAGUAACCUGCCCUUGACUUUGGGAUAACUACAGGAAACUGGGGCAAAUAACGGAUCGGAGCUCCUGCUGCAUGGUGGGGGUUGGAAAGUUUCGGCGGUUGGGGAUGGACUCGCGGCUUAUCAGCUUGUUGGUGGGGGAGUGGCUUACCAAGGCUUUGACGGGUAGCCGGCCUGUGAGGGUGACCGGCCACAAUGGGACUGGGAUACGGCCCAGACUCCUACGGGAGGCAGCAGGGGGGAAUAUUGCACAAUGGGCGGAAGCCUGAUGCGGCAACGCCGCGUGCGGGAUGACGGCCUUCGGGUUGUAAACCGCUUUCGCCUGUGACGAAGCGUGAGUGACGGUAAUGGGUAAAGAAGCACCGGCUAACUACGUG
rnacentral:rRNA from 1 species